GUCAAGUAAGAAUACCCGCUGAACUUAAGCAUAUCAAUAAGCGGAGGAAAAGAAACUAACUAGGAUUCCCUUAGUAACGGCGAGUGAACCGGGAAGAGCUCAAAUUUUAAAUCACCUUGGUGAAUUGUAAUUUGAAGAAAGUGUUUUGACUUUUCAGUUUAAUCCAAAUCCUUUGGGAUGAGGUAUCACAGAGGGUGAGAAUCCCGUUCGUGAUUAGACAUCGGAAUGCAUUAAUUCACUUUCUAAGAGUCGAGUUGUUUGGGAUUGCAGCUCAAAAUGGGUGGUAAAUUUCACCUAAGGCUAAAUAUAUGCGAGAGACCGAUAGCGAACAAGUACCGUGAGGGAAAGAUGAAAAGAACUUUGAAAAGAGAGUUAAACAGUACGUGAAAUUGUUGAAAGGGAAACGAUUGAAGUCAGUCAUGCUAGUGAGAAAUCAACUUGUGUGGAGCGAGUUUUUUCUCAAUCUUCCUUGUGUACUUUCUUGCUUGGCAGGUUAGCAUCAAUUUUGGUUGUCAUCAAAGAAUUGGGGAAAUGUGGCUUCUCUUCGGUGAAGUGUUAUAGACCCUGAUAGAUGUGACGACUGAGAUUGAGGAUUGCAGCGGAUGCCUUUGGGCUAGUCACCUAUCUUCUGACUGUCACCUCGCUCUUGACAGCUUGCUGAUGAUUGUGAGAUUUGUUAGUUUAGAAUUUAGAUUGAACAUAAAUUCGCUAAGGAUGCUGACGUAAUGGCUUUAAACGACCCGUCUUGAAACACGGACCAAGGAGUCUAACAUGUGUGCGAGUGUU
rnacentral:rRNA from 1 species